rnacentral:rRNA from 1 species
AUUGAACGCUGGCGGCAGGCCUAACACAUGCAAGUCGAGCGAGCGGCGGACGGGUGAGUAAUGUCUGGGAAACUGCCUGAUGGAGGGGGAUAACUACUGGAAAAGGUAGCUAAUACCGCAUACCAUCAGAUGUGCCCAGAGGGGAUUAGCUCGUGGGUGGGGUAACGGCUCACAUAGGCGACGAUCCCUAGCUGGUCUGAGAGGAUGACCAGCCACACUGGAACGGAGCCACGGUCCAGACUCCUACGGGAGGCAGCAGUGGGGAAGAUUGCACAAUGGGCGCAAGCCUGAUGCAGCCAGGCCGCGUGUGUGAAGAAGGCCUUCGGGUUGUAAAGCACUUUCAGCGGGGAGGCGUUACCCGCAGAAGAAGCACCGGCUAACUCCGUGCCAGCAGCCGCGGUAAUUC